rnacentral:snoRNA from 1 species
UUGCAGUGAUGAAUUUGGUUCCAAAGCCAUUCGUAGUUUCCACCAGAAGUUUGACUAAUGAUGGCUAAAGCCUUCCUUGGAUGUCUGAGCGA